rnacentral:rRNA from 1 species
GACGAACGCUGGCGGCGUGCUUAACACAUGCAAGUCGAACGAAGUGGCGAACGGGUGAGUAUAACGUGAGAAACCUGCGCUCCUGUGUGGGAUAAGCCUGGGAAACGGGGUCUAAUACCGCAUAAAGGGGGAUGGGCUAGCGGCUGAGCAGCUGGUUGGUGGGGUGAUGGCCGACCAAGGGGGUGAGGGGUAGCCGGCCUGAGAGGGUGACCGGCCACAUUGGGACUGAGAUACGGCCCAGACUCCUACGGGAGGCAGCAGUGGGGAAUCUUCCGCAAUGGACGAAAGUCUGACGGAGCAACGCCGCGUGAGUGAUGACGGCCUUCGGGUUGUAAAGCUCUGUUAAUCGGGACGCGGUACCGGAAUAGAAAGCCACGGCUAACUACGUGCCAGCAGCCGCGGUAAUUC